AAUCAACGCUGGCGGCGUGCCUCAGACAUGCAAGUCGAACGAUUAAAGCUCUCUUCGGAGAGUGUAUAGAGUGGCGCACGGGUGAGUAACACGUAAGUAAUCUACCCUCGAGUGGGGAAUAACGUCCGGAAACGGACGCUAAUACCGCAUAAUGCAGCGGCACCGCAAGGUGACAGUUGUUAAAGAUUUUAUCGCUUGAGGAGGAGCUUGCGGCAGAUUAGCAGUUGGUAAGGUAAUGGCUUACCAAGGCUACGAUCUGUAACCGGUCUAAGAGGACGGUCGGUCACACUGACACUGAAUAACGGGUCAGACUCCUACGGGAGGCAGCAGUCGGGAAUUUUGGGCAAUGGGCGAAAGCCUGACCCAGCAACGCCGCGUGAAGGAUGAAAUCCCUCGGGAUGUAAACUUCGCAAGAACGGGAAGAAUAAGCGAGAGUAAAUAUCUUUCGCGAUGACGGUACCGUUUGUAAGCUCCGGCUAACUCCGUGCCAGCAGCCGCUAUAAC
rnacentral:rRNA from 1 species